CUGGUGGCAGCUGCUAAGUGAAGGAGGACAUAUCCCCGCGGUGUGCAAACAAACCCUGCCCUUGGCCCUCCACGGUGGGCUGGAGUAACCUUUCCUGCCUUCGUUCUUUUUAUUCAGAUUAAUUAUCCUCCAUGGAGCAGGAAAUCCCACCGCCUUUCAACAGCCAGGAACAGCAGCUGCUAAACAGAAUUCACUGCAGGACAGUCUGCUUCCCUCCCAGGCAUUUGCACGGGGCCUUCCCAGUCAGAAGGCUGGGCAGGAGCUUGUGCAGAGAGAGCUGGAAUUCUGGGAAAACACGUUCCAUCACCAUGGCUGAUUCGGAGUAAAAGACACAUUAACUAAGAAGCUCAGUCUGCAACCCCGUGUGCAAGAAAGUAACUUUGAAAUCGUCUUUCUAUAAUGGAAAUGCACUUCCGUUUCUUUCUCCCAUCUGCGUCCUUGGUGGAGAGGUCAUCCCAGCCAGGUCAGGGUCUCCUGGAAAAGGUGUGUGUGGAGCUGGCGGCAGCUGCAGCGAGGGCUGAUUCCUCACCGGCUGGCUCUGUGCAUCCUCCCAGCCCUGGUCCCCAGCCCUCCCGAGGACAGUUCCGCACACUCCCUGAGACCCUUUACAGGAGCUCAUGUUGACCUAAUCAGCCAAUGUCAUCGUUUGUUCUUAAGGUAAGGGCUUUGACACAUGCGUGGGGGCCGUAUGAUGCCGUGACAUUGUCUGGGAG
ensembl:lincRNA